rnacentral:rRNA from 1 species
UCGGAGGAAGGUGGGGAUGACGUCAAAUCAUCAUGCCCCUUAUGUCUUGGGCUUCACGCAUGCUACAAUGGCCGGUACAAUGGGUUGCGAUACUGUGAGGUGGAGCUAAUCCCAAAAAGCCGGUCUCAGUUCGGAUUGGGGUCUGCAACUCGACCCCAUGAAGUCGGAG